UCUAUCUUUCCCCUCAAUGGCCCAACCUGAUUAUCUCUCCUGGACUUCCAGUCUUCUCCGGGACCUCACAGUGUGUUGUGUUGGAGCUGGCUUACACCAGCACAUGCCAACCGCAAACAUCUUUUCCCAUCUUUCUGUUGAGAGAAGUCAGGUUGGUAACUUGAAAUAAGCCACAGAGGGAAUAUUUACACCAUGAAAAUUGGAAAAUACUACAAAUCAGGACAUUUUUCUUUCCAGAGAGCUGGUUGUUAAAUGUUCUCCAACACACCAGUGGCCUCACAGCUAUACAGGUGGUCGAGCUCUGGCCUCUCACUCAAGGGGCCUCUGUUGAAGUUAUGGACUCAAACCUAAAGUCUGACCAGGUUUUAAAUUCCAAAGCCCAACUGUAAAAACUGAAGAUCAAAGAGGCACUUCACACCAUGGCUGCCCAGGGAAUCCUUGGCCACGAGGCCACUUACUAUACUAUGCUGCCAAUCAGCACCCUGCCACCUGCAAUAUGACCUGUAGAACCCAAACCACUGUUCAUAGUGACCAAUUCCAGGUGUGACACAAAACCCAAGCUAGGCUGAUCAGCAUGCUUUAAUGACAUUUCACAUAUGGGUGCUGGGGCUUGGGGUCUGUCUUUUGUGAGGAUGGCAAAUCUUAAGGACUUUAGCAGCUGGCCAUCCAUUCCCACGAUGGGGAAAGAGAUGAGCUGUGGUAGGAAAGAAAGAAGCCACCACUCAGAGAGAAGCAGAGCCAGAAGCUUUGGAAGCCAGGAGACAGGAAACAGAGAAGGACAAUCACCAGGUGACAUAACUUGAGCCCCACCCAGGACUACACAUGCCAGGUGCAUGUGCCAACAAACUCCCUGGGGUUGGUUUGUUGUUUGUUUGUUUUGCUUAAGGUAGUUGGAGUUGAGUUUCCGUCAAUCACGAUGGAAAGAGACGUACCUAAUCACAGCCACCUUGCUGAAAUUCAGAAGACGCAGGCUGCAAGAUGACACAGAAACAAGUUGAAAAUGCCAAUGGAGCACACCUGAGGCAGCACGCAAGCAGCUCAACACGUUAACAAACAGCCUCUUGGGACACAUCACCUUUGAGAAAAGCAAGGCAGACUUCUCAGAACCUUUAAUAUAACAAGGCGCAUUGGGAAUACCCAAGAAGGAGACAUAAUGAAGAAAGCAAUGCUCAGAAAAGCAGUUACUGGCUAAAGGUCACAGAGCAAGCGGAUCAGUGCAGAGCUUGAGUAAGAACCCUGGUUCCUUGAGUCUCCAUUCAAUGCUCCUUGAAGCACCAUCUCAUUAUAAUGACUCCAAAAUAUUUUUAAUCAGAUGUCUCUUGGUCAUUUCCUGAAGCCAAGGCAAAGUAAUAUUAAAAGGAAAGUUUAAGACAUUCGUAUAUAAUCUUCAGGCAACAGAGAACCUAAUUUGGCUCUGAUUGCAGAAAUUCACACUUAAGCUACUGUCAGGAACACCACUUGUGCUUCUGAAUUCCAAGAGACAACUUCAGCCCUAAUUCCUGGUGAGCCUGACCAGCUGCCAAGUAUCUCCAAGUGUGAGGGGGGAAAUUGGUAACUCACACACGUACAUUUGACAACACAAAAUAGGUGUAGCAUAAAUGUCAGAGUGAGUUACAGAAUUAAAGUGAGCUUCCGAGAAUAAAAUGUCAAUACCGCAAAGGCAGCUUCAUAACAGGACCAUACCAACAGAUCAUUGGGUCGAUUUUAACUUCAUUGCCUAAAAUGAUGGUAUUUCCAGUUUUCAAAGCAGAUGGGAAAAAAAGAGUUUAAAAGACUCAGAAUCAGAUCACAAAGAUUCUGAAUCGGGUAUUAAUUGGCUUUUUAAAGAAAUGAUCUCAAGAGAGUGUUACAUCACAUUGUAUGCUAGAGAGAAGAGGCCAAGACCUCUUCUCGGCCCAUGUUCUAGAGCCGUGCUGUCCAGUACAGUAGCCACUAGCCACUAUAUGAACUUAAAUUUUAAUUAAUUAAAAUUAGACCAAAUUAAAAAUUCAGUUCCUCAGUAGUACCAGCCACCUUUCAAGUGCUCAACAGCCACAUGUAGCUAGCAGCUGCUGAAGUGGACAGUAUGGAUAUGGAACGUUUCCAUCAUCGUGGAAGGUGCUAUUGGACAG